GAGAAGCCCAAAAGAGGACAAUAUCUACUAGCAGUGGGCUUGGGCCAUUACAAAUAGUAUUAGAGUCAGACAUGGGGCGACGUGCAGCGAGGAGAUUGAGUUCUGAAGGGAGUGAGAUCUCACAUCUGUUGGGGAGGAGGAUGAAUACCCCCUUUAUAAGGAUAUGGAAACCUCUCCCUAUCAAAUGCGUUUUAAAAACCUGGAGGGAAAGCCCAAGAGGGAAAAUCCAAUGAAGACAAUAUCUGCUAGUGGUGGGCUUGAGCCAUUACAUCUAUCCUUCCGACUCUUUUUACCUUUUCCCAUCAAGAUAAAGGACAGUGGGGUUAGGGGUUAUGUUUGGAUUUUGCUGUAUAAUAUAUAUCAAAUUGGGCAGGACCUCAGAAAUCAAUAAGAUGGCAUUAUUAACAAGCACAUGACUUUUAUCUUCCUACAUUUCAAAAAAGUGAUCUGAUGUUUUUCUUUGUUCCAUUAUGAAAGGGUCCAGUGUCGGAAUCUGCUGUGAAGUGCAUACACACUGAUGUCAAGCACUGAAUCAUCACUACCAAAUAAGAAAAAAAAUCAAGAUGGUUUCUUGCUUUUAAGUUCUAUUGGCACUAUAUACUAGGCAUGCAUAAAGGAGGGGCUUUUACCUGGUGAGUCGUGAAAGUUCAUACUUUUACUUUAAACCUCCAAAUCAUUGAGCAAUCCAAACUUCUUUUACAUUAUCUACUUGUUCCCAUAUUUUUCUGCUAUUUGCAUCUGAAUCAUCCCGUUUGCACUUCCUUUCCAAGCUCCUUAUCUUGUGGAUUUCCCAUUUCAUUUUUUCCCUCUUAUCUAAAUCACCCACAAAGUGUAGUUUUUUAAUAUGUUCUUAGCAGUAUCCACUUAGGACGAUUGUUUUCCUCUCAACUGAAAUUGCCUUUUAUUUAUCUAUCUAUUCCUCAAAUUGAUCCAUGUGUUCCAGAGAUGUGCAACAUAAUCUCUAUCUACAUGUAUGUAUGUGAAUCUCUAUCAAUAUAUAAUCUUGAUUCUGUGAA